GCCACCCCGUUCUCGAGAGAUUUGAGCUCGCAUUGGCGAUCGUCGCUCUCCGUCGACUCUCUCCACCUCGUUCGAUCCCGUCCCUCCGGACCCUCGCCCGCGCCGCCCGCUCCUCCUCGUCCUCGGCUGCCGCCGCGCCACGAUCACCACCGGCCUCAUCGAUGCCUGCUCGGCCAUGUGCGGCGAGGUUAACAUCACCCAGGAGUGGCUCGACAAGCUCCCGCCCGCAUCCUCCGACGAGCGGCUAAGCACUCACCAUGGCUUCCAAUAGCCGACAGGCAUGCCGGGCUCGGGUGCCAUGUCGUCCUCCAGCCCGAUCUACAAGCUUUCUUCGUGAUUUGUUCAUAACUCAAAGCAUACUGACUGGUGAAAUCAUUAGUUGCCCGAGCAUUCACCUAGGCGAGGUGAGGUGAGGUGAGGUGAAGCGAGGCCCGAGUGCCCACCUAAUGAACUGGGUGGACGUCAACGCUCGCCGGGCGGAAACCUGGUUCAACUCAGGCUAGUUCGAGCCUGAGUUGAACCAAAGAAUUGUAUCUGGUUCAGUUCAACCGGUUAGACCCUAAGUCGAUGACCACAGAGUUUGAUUGAGACCUGUCCACGUGUGAGCCCUAACACAGAAACCCUUUCUCACUUCUUUUUGCACGGUGAUGGAGUUCCUCCCAUCGGUGAACGACAGCAGCGGCGGCAGCAACGUCUUCUUCCAGCAGCAGCGGCUGCAGCAACAUCUUCCUCCAGCAGCAGCAUCUUCCUUUAGCAGCAACGGCAAUGGCUUCUUCCCCUCCCUCCCGGUAUAUAUCUCUCUUCCACUCCUUCCCUGUUCACCGCAGCCCUCCUACGUUCACCGCAGCCUCUUCCCUCUUCCCUGUUCAUCGUUUCCAUUCACCGCAGCCCUCCCAUAGCCUCUUCCCUCUUCCCCGUUCAUUGCUGUCUUCUUCCCCUUUCACCACUGCCUUCUUCCCCAUUAACCGUUGCCUUCUUCCCCAUUCACUGCAGCCAUCCUACAGCCUCUUCCCUCUUCCCUUUUCCCCUCCCUCUUCCCCGUUCACGGCUGCCACUUCAUUGCUGUUUGUCAAUUUAAACUUAGAAUAGUUGCCUGCUUUGCUGUUAGCCUUUGUUGUUUGUUUAUGUUUGUGAGAACAGCAGUUGCCUGCUGUAGUGAAUCAGUUGUAAAAUGUCAAUUAUUAUUGCUAUUGCUGUAGUGAUUAGUGCUAGUUUUUAGUGUUUUGGAUUAUUGCUUUAGAUGGUGACAAGAUUGAAGAUGAGGAACUGAAUUUUAAUGAUCUUUGAUGUUAAUCUUGUUUUAUUUUGUCAUUUUGUUAUUGAAUAUGGACAAUGUAGUUUGGUACUUUAAUGAAUGAAAGUUUGAUGUGUUAUUUUUGUUUU